UGAGUAACCUGCCCUUAACUCUGGGAUAAGCCUGGGAAACUGGGUCUAAUACCGGAUAUGACUCCUCAUCGCAUGGGUGGGGGGUGGAAAGCUUUAUUGUGGUUUUGGAUGGACUCGCGGCCUAUCAGCUUGUUGGUGAGGUAAUGGCUCACCAAGGCGACGACGGGUAGCCGGCCUGAGAGGGUGACCGGCCACACUGGGACUGAGACACGGCCCAGACUCCGUACGGGAGGCAG
rnacentral:rRNA from 1 species